UUGGGGUGCCAGGGAACUGUGCAGCCUGCAGUAAGCUGAUCCCUGCGUUCGAGAUGGUGAUGAGAGCUCGGGACAAUGUCUACCAUCUUGACCGCCAGCGACUCUGUGUGGGAGAUACCUUCUUCCUCAAGAACAACAUGAUCCUGUGCCAGGUUGACUGUGAUGGCGGCCGUCUUAAUGGCAGCACUGACAGGCAGUCACAAUAAGAGUGUCUACAGACUGGUCAGGAGGGACUAUCAAAUGGUACCGGGUGAUUAAGACGAAGGCUGGGACCUCAACAGGAGAACACAGAGGGACUAUCAUAUGGUACCGGGUGAUGAAGACGAAGGCUGGGACCUCAACAGGACACACAGAGGGACUCCUCAACACAACACCGCUUAAGAUCUGCAUCAGCUACUGGUUCUACUGGUGGUUUCUGCGGCAGGUUCUACUGGUCGGCUGCUGGUUCUACUGGUCUGCUGCUGGUUCUACUGGUGGUUCUGCUGGAGGUUCUGCUGCUGGUUCUACUGGUGGUUUCUGCGGCUGGUCCUACUGGUCUGCUGCUGGUUCUACUGGUCUACUGCUGUUCUACUGGUCUACUGCUGGUUCUACUGGUCUACUGUUGGUUCUACUGGUCUACUGCUGGUUCUACUGGUCUACUGCUGGUUCUGGUUUGGUUCUGUACACGUUGGACUACAGGCGUUCUAAAGUAAUCCUGAGAAACCCUUUGUGUUUCUCCGAUGGAUGUGAUACUGGUGAUGUCAUAGCAGGGGGCUCUUCACUGGACACUUGGACCUUGAAGGAUCAGUUCAUUGAUUGACUGAAAGAGUAGCACUGAAGAGCCGGUUCUCUUCGUAGUGGCCCCCCUUUGUAACAGAUUUAACAAGUUCAAUGUCAACCUCAUUUGAAAUGCAAACUAUAUAUUCAUUAUUUUAAUG